rnacentral:rRNA from 1 species
ACUGCUCAGUAACACGUGGACAACCUGCCCAAAGGUCCGGGAUAACCCCGGGAAACUGGGGAUAAUACCGGAUAAGUCACAAGUACUGGAAGGUUUUGUGGUUGAAACUUCCGGGGCCUUUGGAUGGGUCUGCGGCUGAUUAGGUUGUUGCCGGUGUAACGUACCGUCAAGCCUGUAAUCAGUACGGGUUGUGGGAGCAAGAGCCCGGAGAUGGAUUCUGAGACACGAAUCCAGGCCCUACGGGGCGCAGCAGGCGCGAAAACUCUACAAUGCAGGCAACUGCGAUAGGGGAACAUCGAGUGAUACUCAUCUUGGGUGUCUGUCCUCCCGUCUAAAAAACGGGAGUUAGCAAGGGCCGGGCAAGACCGGUGCCAGCCGCCGCGGUAAUACCGGCGGCUCGAGUGGUGGCCGAUAUUAUUGAGUCUAAAGGGUCCGUAGCCGGCUUUGCAAGUCUUUUGGGAAAUCCAGCGGCUUAACCGUUGGUCGUCCGGGAGAUACUACAUUGCUUGGGACUGGGAGAGGUAGGAGGUACUCAGGGGGUAGGAGUGAAAUCCUGUAAUCCUUUGGGGACCACCGGUGGCGAAGGCGUCCUACCAGAACAGGUCCGACGGUGAGGGACGAAAGCUAGGGGCACGAACCGGAUUAGAUACCCGGGUAGUCCUAGCCGUAAACGAUGCUCGCUAGGUGUCACAACAAUCGUGAAUUGUUGUGGUGCCGUAGGGAAGCCGUGAAGCGAGCCACUUGGGAAGUACGACCGCAAGGUUGAAACUUAAAGGAAUUGGCGGGGGAGCAC